rnacentral:rRNA from 1 species
CCUACGGGAGGCAGCAGUGAGGAAUAUUGGUCAAUGGACGAGAGUCUGAACCAGCCAAGUAGCGUGAAGGAUGACUGCCCUAUGGGUUGUAAACUUCUUUUAUAUGGGAAUAAAACGUUCCACGUGUGGGAUUUUGUAUGUACCAUAUGAAUAAGGAUCGGCUAACUCCGUGCCAGCAGCCGCGGUAAUACGGAGGAUCCGAGCGUUAUCCGGGUUUAUUGGGUUUAAAGGGAGCGUAAGUGGAUUGUUAAGUCAGUUGUGAAAGUUUGCGGCUCAACCGUAAAAUUGCAGUUGAAACUGGCAGUCUUGAGUACAGUAGAGGUAGGCGGAAUGCGUGGUGUAGCGGUGAAAUGCUUAGAUAUCACGAAGAACUCCGAUUGCGAAGGCAGUUCACUGGACUGCAACUGACACUGAGGCUCGAAAGUGUGGGUAUCAAACAGGAUUAGAUACCCCUGUAGUC